rnacentral:RNase_P_RNA from 1 species
GGGGCGAACUGGACGGUCGCUGUCGUAAGACAGAGGAAAGUCCGAACACCAAAGGGCAACGAGCCGGGUAACACCCGGGAAUCGCCAGAAUAUGGCGAUUACGACAAGUGCAACAGAGAACAGACCUGCCUUUUCGAAGGUCAAGGGUGAAACGGUGAGGUAAGAGCUCACCGGCGUGCAUGGAAACAGGCGCGGCCAGGUAAACUCCUCGUGGUGCAAGACCAAAUAGGAAAACGCUAACGGGCUGCCCGCCCGAUGUACGAUGGAAACAUCGUCGGUGUUUUCGGGUAGGUCGCUAGAGUCGGAUGGUAACGUCCGGCCUAGAUGAAUGAUCGUCAACUGUCGGUUUCGGCAGGACAAAAUUCGGCUUAUAGGUUUGUACCACGG